GGGGAUGUAGCUCAGUGGUAGCGCACAUGCUUUGCAAGUAUGAGGCCCCAGGUUCAUUCCCUGGCAUCUGCU
rfam:Mustela putorius furo unplaced genomic scaffold scaffold00027, whole genome shotgun sequence.